AUACGGAAGGUAGCAAGCGUUAAUCGGAAUCACUGGGCGUAAAGCGCUCGUAGGUGGCUUCGUAAGUCAGGUGUGAAAGCCCACGGCUCAACCGUGGAAUUGCACUUGAUACUGCAUUGCUUGAGUUCGGGAGAGGGUAGUGGAAUUCCAGGUGUAGGAGUGAAAUCCGUAGAUAUCUGGAGGAACAUCAGUGGCGAAGGCGGCCACCUGGACCGAUACUGACGCUGAGGUGCGAAAGCGUGGGGAGC
rnacentral:rRNA from 1 species